rnacentral:rRNA from 1 species
GAUGAACGCUGGCGGCGUGCCUAAUACAUGCAAGUCGAGCGAACGGACGAGAAGCUUGCUUUUCUGAUGUUAGCGGCGGACGGGUGAGUAACACGUGGAUAACCUACCUAUAAGACUGGGAUAACUUCGGGAAACCGGAGCUAAUACCGGAUAAUAUUUUGAACCGCAUGGUUCAAAAGUGAAAGACGGUCUUGCUGUCACUUAUAGAUGGAUCCGCGCUGCAUUAGCUAGUUGGUAAGGUAACGGCUUACCAAGGCAACGAUGCAUAGCCGACCUGAGAGGGUGAUCGGCCACACUGGAACUGAGACACGGUCCAGACUACUACGGGAGGCAGCAGUAGGGAAUCUUCCGCAAUGGGCGAAAGCCUGACGGAGCAACGCCGCGUGAGUGAUGAAGGUCUUCGGAUCGUAAAACUCUGUUAUUAGGGAAGAACAUAUGUGUAAGUAACUGUGCACAUCUUGACGGUACCUAAUCAGAAAGCCACGGCUAACUACGUG